GCCGCUUUAGCUCAGUUGGUAGAGCACAUCAUUCGUAAUGAUGGGGCCACAGGUUCGAGUCCUGUAAGCGGCACCA
rnacentral:tRNA from 35 species